rnacentral:lncRNA from 1 species
AAGAGAGGGUUUACAAUUUUGUCCGUUCAAAAAUUGUAACAGUUUUAUUUUUGUGAAGAUAUUCUUUUCAAGAUCGUGGAUGUAGAUUUAUUUGAGGGAUCAAACCACGUAAAAUUUUUGUAUUAUUAUUUUUUUUAUUCUCUCUAUUAUUUGUAUGAGUGUUUUCACUGCUGGUCUCAACAAAUGGUAUUAGAAAGAAGUUUCAACCUAAGGGAGGA